CUCUAAUUUCAAAGCUCUGCCCUCAUUCGUAAUUAAAACCACUGAUUUUCAUUUAAAAUUCAAAAAACCUCUGCUCACAUUCAAAAUUCAAAAUUUUGGCUCCAGAUUCAAAAUUUAAACAAUAUAGAUAUAUAACAUACUCUCUUCUUCAAUCAAUUACUCUCUCUUUAUAUUCAUUCACCACUUUCUCUCUCUAAAAACUUCUCUACGCUUUUGUCACCAGUACCGCCCAACCUGCAAACCCUCACUCGCUUGCUGCCUCAAAAUCCCUCGCUCGCUUGCUGCCUCAAAACCCCUCGCUCGCUUGCUGCCUCAAAACCCCAGAUCCAACGUCCCCGAUUCACACUCCUGCCGGCGGCAAUCAACUUCCACCGGUUGCUUUAUCCUACUUUUGUUUUGUGAAAGCUUCCUUCUUAUUACUGCAAUUAUUAGUUUAGUUCACAGUUUGAUGAUUUCGAAUUUUAUUCAAGCUUCCUUUCCAAUUUUUAUAGCAGGUGUUUGAAUUUUGCUUUUGUUAGAUUUAGGGUUCAUUUGGACCGCCUACCAAUUAGGUAAAAUUGAAUCGGUUGACUUUACAACACUGAUCUGAAUAAUGAAAUGUUUAAGAAUGAAUCACCAUUUGUAAGUGACUAUUGAAGAAGUCAGUAUGUAUGAUUUAAAAAUUGAGUAAAGAUCACACACAGAUUCAAGUCUUUCCAAGCUGAAUUAUGUGUCAUUUUGUUUGCAGAAAUGUCCUUCUUGACGACCCAAUUUUUCGGUGACAUAAACACUUAGGUUGCAUUCCCACUUAUGGACGACAACUUUUCAUUUUCAGGUCUGAAGUAAAUACACACCUUAUCAAAUAUUCACACGACGAAACACUUUCUUUAUACACUGAAUCAAUUUGGGAAAUGACAGAAUUAUUCAGCCAUACCGCUUCCAGACAGUUAUCACAAAUGUUUUUUGCAGUACUCUUCUAACCGAUCGAUCUUCUGGUGCAGGUUUGUUUAGCUUUGUGAAUACCCAAUCUGAUUCGGAAAUAGCAAAUACGUCAAAGGAGUGUGCUGUUGAACUAAUUGACAUGCGUGUCACAAUUGGAAUGAAGAAUUGAAAUACCUAUUCACACAGUUGGGUCGAAAAACGGUGAUCGUGCACCAGCUACUCACAAGGGUUACCAGUAUUUAUCAUUGUGGAUACUGAGAGAGGAAUGCAAGAUGGACAAGUAAGCCAUUUUAAUGUUGCUUCGUGUAAUUGCAUAGCAUCUGGUUUCAUUUACUUUCUGUGAACCCAUUUCAUUAACAUCCAAGAUGUUGACCACCAAGAGUUCUUCAGUGGUUAUAGUGAAGUCAACCCAGCAGCGAAGAUAGAUUCAGACAGCUGUUG